rnacentral:rRNA from 1 species
CACCGCGGUUAGACGAGAGGCCCAAGUUGAUAGAUACCGGCGUAAAGCGUGGUUAAGAGAUUAAAACACUAAGACUGAACACUUUUAGGACUGUUAUACGUAUUCAAAAGAUAGAAGCUCAACUACGAAAGUGGUCUUAAGUUAAAUAUGAACCCACGAAAGCUAUGGCA